GAUGAACGCUGGCGGCGUGCCUAAUACAUGCAAGUCGAGCGAACGGACGAGAAGCUUGCUUUUCUGAUGUUAGCGGCGGACGGGUGAGUAACACGUGGAUAACCUACCUAUAAGACUGGGAUAACUUCGGGAAACCGGAGCUAAUACCGGAUAAUAUUUUGAACCGCAUGGUUCAAAAGUGAAAGACGGUCUUGCUGUCACUUAUAGAUGGAUCCGCGCUGCAUUAGCUAGUUGGUAAGGUAACGGCUUACCAAGGCAACGAUGCAUAGCCGACCUGAGAGAGUGAUCGGCCACACUGGAACUGAGACACGGUCCAGACUCCUACGGGAGGCAGCAGUAGGGAAUCUUCCGCAAUGGGCGAAAGCCUGACGGAGCAACGCCGCGUGAGUGAUGAAGGUCUUCGGAUCGUAAAACUCUGUUAUUAGGGAAGAACAUAUGUGUAAGUAACUGUGCACAUCUUGACGGUACCUAAUCAGAAAGCCACGGCUAACUACGUGC
rnacentral:rRNA from 1 species